UGUAUCUGAAGAGACACCUGAGGACAACAUCCAGUUCCUUCAGAGGUUCAAAGACCAUAGUACCCCCCCUGUAUCUGAAGAGUCACCUGAGGACAACAUACAGUUCCUUCAGAGGUUCAAAGACCAUAGUACCCCCCCCUGUAUCUGAAGAGUCACCUGCCACCAUCCUUAACCAAGGUUGUGAUUUUAAGACAGUGAAGGAAUCUGUCUCAGAACUCAAGAGGCAGCUGGAGAGCUACUGUGAAUAGGAAGCGGUGAAGAUAUCGGCAGAAGUCAAUGCGGUCCACAUACUGCAGUCCCACCCAAGAGAAGAGUGAGCUUCAAGCAGGCCUAAACCACAGCGUUUCACAAGACCACCAUCAUCCAACAACUUAACUUCUGAUAAGCUGGUGGUAUGUGAACCUUUUGACAUGAACAGUUUUCUGCAUCUCUUAUGGAGCAUGAAAGAAAUGAAAUGUAUCCGUAAAGGGUUAAAUGACCAGUUGGAGAAUUAUGUCACUUACAGUAAGGCUUCUUUCUUCACCCUUCACUUUUCCCCGUGUUUUGGAAAUUCAUAUGAAAUGUUUGUUCUACCCAUUCUGUUUCUAAGCAGGCAAUACUAUAGCUUCCCUUUAGACAAUACUUCUCCCGAGAGGUCUUGACAUUUAGGCCACAUAUAUUGAUAAAAAGGUUCAGAGUAUCUCUGAUUCAUUGGUAACAAGGCAUUUAAUAAGAAAAGACCCUGCAGAAGGUAAGCCGAGGCUGAAACGUUGGUGGUUUUUACCCAAGAAAUUACUGGGAGUUUAUACAAAGACUGUACGACUCUCUUUAUUUUCAACUAAUUUAACAAGAACUGCUUUGCUUGGAUUGCACAGCCCUCGGAUAUUGAGGUGCGUGACUUGGAUAAUAUGGUUAUUCAAUUUUCAAAGCCAUUUCUACAGCACAGAUACAUGUGGCAAAAUUAAUUACAUUGUGUUAUUAAUUUCCAUAGGGUGUGAUAAGCCAGUCUUUCGUAAACAUUGUAAUGGAAUUAAAGAAGAAUAUGAGUACGUCCCAAAUAGGGGAUAGGAUGCCAUUUGCGACAAAGCCGGUAAUUCAAUGCCAUGUAGAGUCUAAUUAGGUUAAUGAGUUUUAAUGUAAUCUCGGAAAGCCAGGUGGUAUGUAACUCCGUCACAAACAACUGUCAACAAAGAGAAGUUUUAAUACAGCAGAAUUUCUUCAGGAAAAGAUAGACCCUUAGCUCUUCUUGUCUAAUGUUUUAAAGUUUAUAUAAUAUUAUAUGGAAUUAUACAAAAUAAAUACUUAAGGAAAGCAGAUUUUGUCCUCUGCUGGUGGUGAAGGUAAAUGUACACUCAGUUGCUAAGAAUGUCCUAAUAUUGGAUUUAAGGUAUACAUUUUUUACUAUUCAUUUGGGAUGGCAAGGCCUCCUGGUGUACAUCUACCUACGCAAUAAAUGACGUGCAAAUGGCCUUCACUCUUUAGAUAAGGUUUGAGGUGUGAAAAACUUUGACAAAUGUAAAUGAUCCCUUUAAAAGGUUUUAACUAUGCCUUUUAAUCACAAGUCACGAUGAACAUUUUCUAGAAAGUAUUAUCUUACACGUCGAUCUGAGAUUAAACAAACAUUAUGUAUUAAUAUACCUGUUAGAGUUGGUUUCCCAUCAUGCACUGCCUUUCGAUGUUCCAAUGUACUCUCAGAGCAAACGUUAAACCAUUCAAAUGACACCUGCAGGGCUCUAAUGAAAGUAACUUAGGCAAAUGAUCCAUCAGGUACUGUAUAGCCUCUGUGUCUAAAAAGUCAUUUAAUACCCUUCUGUACUAUCAUAGAGCAGAUUGAGCUUUGAAAUAACAAAGAAUGCAUCCAUUUGAUUUGAAAGUGCAUGGACUGUAGGCAUUUUUAAUACAUUUCCCUUUCUUGUUUUCUUCGAUAGCAUAGAUAGGAAGAGUUUUCAUGUGAUUGUGCCUGUGGGACAAACCUCUGUUCACAGUGUGACAUAAAUGCAAUAUAGAGCAUCUUAGAUUACACAUGUGUAUGUGAGGUAUGAUGCCACAACAGGGUGGCUCAGCAAGGUCAUCUUUCAUAUUUUAUGGUUUGUGUCUUUUAGUGUGUUUCACAGAUGUAAUAAUGUGUCAGCCAUCCCAGUCCACCUGAGGGGAACAACAGUCAAGAGGAAAAAUAGGCUUCAUAUCUUAAACUGAUGAGGUAAUAGACUAAGACUACAGCACAUAGCUUUAAGAUUGGUAGGCAAUGAAGGAAUGAUGAUCUUAAUGCUAAACAUGAUCUUUAGGUUUUUGGGAAACUCACCCCUGACCAGUACGAGCCAACAUUCUUUUGAUUGUGUUUCCUGGUCUGGAUCAUUAUUGUUUUUUAAUAAAAGCUAGUUGGUUUUUACACAGUCACUCCAUUCAGAGUGAUAUUUUACCACUCUAUGGCCCGAGGUAUUCAACCAGGGGUCUGCGAAAAUAUGAAUAAAAAAACGAAACAUUUUUCAAUGUUUUUAUGAAUAUCUCUAGUAACAACAGAAUAAACACAUUUUGACUUGCAUACCUACAGUAGAAAAUAAGAGAAUAUCUUCUUUCUCAACUUUAUUUCUCAACUCCUAAUAUUGACCAAAUUACACUCGUUGGAGUCAAUACAGUCACUGCAGUAUCUAACAUAGGCUUUGAAAAAGCACCCGUGAAAGGGCUGCUGGUAAGCUUUGUUGACUUGAACAUUUUUGCCAACACAUUUGUUUAACCAGCUAUAACUGCUCUUAGUUGAAAUGUGUUUGGAGUUACCUUUCUAGCUAAUAGACUAUGUUAGAGUUUACACUUCUUCCUCUUCCAAUUAUAACAGAUAGAAGUCGGAGACAGAUGUUACAACGGAUGUAUAAAUCUGAAGCUUCCAUUUAGAACGUCCACUCACCACCAAAUAUGGUGAUGAGAGGAAGUCCCCUGGCGUGAAGUGGGAGAUGGAUCUAGAUUAAACUUGGCCAAAUAUUCUGCAAGUGUUUUCUGCUCCCAAAACUAGAAUCUGUUGUGAACAGAGUGCACUAUGUUUUGACUUGACCCUUUCUAAAAGUUAGGAAAAAAAUGUUUUUGGAGUAAUGUGGCGAGUGGAGUUACUGCACAUGCACACUUCAGAGAGUAGGCUUUGCCUAAUGGAAAUAUGCAAAUACCUGCUAGAACGCACCAAUAGGAUCGCACUAGCUCGUGCUUGGCUCUGCCCACCUCCUUGCUUGUUCACCGGUGGUGUAUCUUGUGUUAUUUACCAGUAUCUUUGAUUGUAACGUGGGGAGAUCAAAAUAAUGGGAAACUAUCUACCAAAUGUAUUCAUUCUAAAUUGUUAACUACUUCUCCUUGUCAUUAUCAUUUACCUGAUGAUAAUACAAGACAUGGAAUUGUUUUGCUAACAUAAUGAUGGCAGUCCCUGGGUUGCCAGUUUUCCUGGGAGGGGUCCCUGGGCAACAAAAGGUUGAAGAACCUUUUGCUAUCAGGGCCAUUUUGAUGUGCUGUGCUUCUAAUCUCUCAUGAAAAUCAUUACUUUUACAUAAAUGUAACUCAAAUCUAAAUGGUAAAUAAAAACACAUGACUGACUAAUGUAUGCUCAUGUUUGUUUGCCUCGGUUGCGGUCAAUUCCUUUUCAAUUCUGUCAAUUCAGGAAGUAAACUAUAAUUUAAAUUCCAAUUUUCGUUAAUGCCUCUCUAGGAGUACGUUUAGAAUUGGAAUUUCAGUUUACUUCCAGAAUUGACUGAAUUGAAAUGGAAUUGACCACAAUUCUGAUGUAUCCAUAUCAGUAUGAGUGAACAGUAGUGACUACAUCCCUCUUCUUUCUGGCUGAGGGGGCUACUGAGGAAGCGCUUGGGUGAGCUGAGGUCUCCUCCUUCACUCUGGCUGGCUGCUCUGCUGCCACCUGUUGCCAGACGCCUCAUCUGAUGUACCGGUGGUGGGCUUCUUCCUCUGUCACUGCUGCUUCUGUGGUCUGGGAUAACCAGAUAACCAGUUUAGGCCUCUUGGGCUGGAUCACUUUUCUGAUUGGCAAGACUAUCCAUCAGCCACUUCCAGGCCUCCACAUGCUGCACAGCAUUCUGUGACAGCUGGUUCUGCUGGGGGCACAACUGUCUGUUAUACGCCUACCCCGGGCCAAAUCCGGACGACGCUGGGCCAAUUGUGCGCCACCCUAUGGGACUCACAAUCACAGCCGGAUGUGAUGCAGCCCAGAUUCAAACCAGAGACUGCAGUGGCACCUCUUGCACUGAGAUGCAGUGCCUUAGACCGCUGCACCACUCAGGAGCCCUGCAUUGUAUUGUGUGUAUUGUAUUUAAGUACUCAAGUUCUUCACUUUAUGUCAACUUUUUUGACAUAACUUUGUUUCUUUCUAACCUGACAUACUGUAAGUAAAGUAAAUAGUUACAAUCAUAUUCAAUAGUCCUAUAUACUGUUCUUAUUGAUAUAUAUAGAAUAACAUAUCCUUUUUCUUCUGUGAGCUCAUUGCACACGUUACACAGUUUCUCUAUGGAUAAAUCAAAUCAAGCCUGAACUGUGUGAUGUAGUAGGGAGUUGUAGUUUCCAACAGGCCAAUAUUCAACAUAGUUUAGCGCAUAACACGUGGUAAUUAACUUCAAUUACCAUAAUCCAUUGUGCAUCUACUUGUCUGUGUUUCUUUUAUGCCUGCUACGGAAGAGACAAUAACGCAGCUUUUGCUUGGUGUCUCUACCUGAAAAUACAUUAUCAAAGUGAUUGAUAGUUGGUAUUCCGCAGUCAUAAAAGUAUACCUUAUUUACUUUGAAGAAAUACAACAUUUUGUCAGACUGCAUAGACAGCAGCUACAUAAAGACUUGGAAUGAAAUAAUAAAGUCAUCAAAUAAAACAAAUGUAAUAUACACAGCAACUGAAAUAUUUUAUUAAUGUGAAUAAAUUAUGGUUAAUAAGUGAUUAGCAGUCAUUUGCAGUCACUACCAUCAUGUUUUUUUUGUGUCAACCAGAAAACCAUGAUUAUUUUUGUAUAAUCUAUUCUAACCGAAACCGAACCCAAACCCACCUCAAAAAGCACUAAUUGCUUACCACUACUAAUAUCUUAAAAAGUAGGAUAUUUAUAAACAAGGCUUUACAAACCAAGUCAUUUCUCUCAAAUAUUAAGAACAUUAUAUUUUGGUUGAUCCAUCUUCAAAAGUGAGUGGUUUCAAUUCUACUGCUGCUGCUAUUCAUUGUAUAGUCUGACUGAGUUGCUGUAUUCUGUUUUUUGACCAAUAGAUGGCGCUCUUUUGUUAUUAAAUAUACCUUAGACCAAGAGAGAAAUCACCAGAUGUUAGUGAACUUAGAAAGGACUGAUAUCAUCCUGAGACCCAGCAAUGAAUUUAUGUCCUCUCUAGCGGACAUUCGUUGUUGUUCCGCAUCUCUAAGGCCAUACAUGCCACUGUGUUAAGUACUGCUGUACCUUUGAGAGGACAUUCUGGGCUUUUCAGUGAUAUCACAUGUGUGACCUGGAUCAUUUUCUCCUCCUGGUUUUUUAAAAUGGCUGCCAACACAAUUAGCAUAUUUUAUGGUAUGAAGAAAGGUGUGUGUUAUUGUGUAAUUAUAUUUUUUUGUGAGUUUUUUAUUCAAAUUUCUUUUAGUAAGCAAUUAUCCCAGGAAUAGUUUGGUGAUCUUUUUUUCCACAUUUAAUGAGAACUAAAUAAAAGCUUGUUUAUAAAUGUCUUCUGUAGUGGACAGCAGAGCUAGCAAUUAUGUUUAUGCCUAUUGUACCCACAGUUUUCAGAUUUACUAUCAAACAAUGACUUAUUUCUACUACGGUGCUCAUACAAUACAAAAUAAAUAAAUAUAUGUAUUCAAAAAAAAAUCCACCCCAAACAUAAAAAAACAUUAAAACAAACGUGUAUUUUUCGGAGUCUCAUCAGGUUAGAAAGAUGUCAAAUGUUGAGGAAAACUACUUUUGACAAGAAAGGACAAAAAGUCCUUGCUGUGACUGUGCAUGCAUGUUUAAAGUUCCCUUACUGUAUUUUAAAUGAGUUGUAGGAUUAUGCUGUGACUGUGCAUGCAUGUUUAAAGUUCCCUUACUGUAUUUUACAUUUGUUUCUGUAUGUACCAAUUAUAAUAGGCUCGGCAGAAGUAUUGGUCUACCUUUUAUCAUGUUUUAAUUUAUGUUCAAUUUUAAAUGAAUGGUGAUUGGCAAAGACCAAUUUGUUGCUUUUUUCACUCGACAAAAGCAAAUUAAGACAUUUUGGUUUUAAUCAUGUGAUUCACUUUAAUCAAUGGCCACUUUGUUCUUGUCUUUCUCUCUCUGGGCGCCGUCCGUCCAACUAUAUUUCCCACCAGACAGAAAGUGUCUGCAGUCUGAAACGUGGACAGUGGGCCAAAUGGCAUCCUAUUCCCUAGUGCACUAGUUUUGGCCGAGAUAAAAGUAGUGCACUAUGUACAUAAUAGGGUGUCAUUUGGAACACGCAGCCAUGGUCAUCCAUCAUAGCCAAGUAGAGGAGAUUAAACCAGGUCACUAACGACCUCUGGGGCCAGGGGUAAUUCCCCAAACCCAGAAAUGAUUCUAAUGUGACUGUAAGACAUUGUGAAACUAAGACAUUACCUCAAUACCUGGGUCUACGUGAAUAAUGCAAGUCAUUAUAGGAACUCUAAUAAACACCUCUCUCUCGAUAUAAAUGAUUUACUGUCUCUAAUUACUUUGGAGGCUUGUUGGACGAGGACUUUAUAUUGAGGGCUUAGGUUCUUCCCAGUGAGUCAGUGGAGAAUGAUCGAUAAAGUGAGUGAACGGAGUAGAUAUGAGGUGGCUGCGGUCGAUUGAUUGUUGCGGUUUUACCCCUGUGGUCAGUCCAAUGGUAUUUCAAUACUCUAAAUGGCUCCAUGUCUAAUUUCCUUCAACUGCAUUGCUAAGAAGGGACUGGACUGGAAUAAACAGGAAAGAACAGGAGAUCUUUCUCCUGAGGAGAGGAGAGAUUAUCCAUUUUCUAUUUAGAAGGUCUACAUUUAUAGGAUCUCAAUUGCAUACUUCUUGAGUCCUGUUUCCUCUUCAAAACCCUCUGACCUUCUCCUCCAAUGGGUUUUGAGAAGGAGACGAGGAGAGAGAGAGGACACGAGGAGCAUGCAAUUGAGAAUUUCAGAGUGUGUAGCGAGCAAGUCUUCCAGGUUGGCAGAAAGUCACAUGACCUGUCUGUUCUCAGAUCAGAUUGAUAUCAUGACCUUUGCUCUCUCAAUUAGUAUCCAAUGGGUGCUUAUAUUUGUCAUAUUUCACACAUGUGCAAGGGUGUAUUAAUAUGCAUGAGUAAAUUGGAAAUGUGUUUUUUGCAGAUCCCAACUCUCCCUUGCCAGAGUCAAUGAACUAAUGGCAAUCUGACUUAAAAGGGGUAAAUAUGGCACAAGCAUCUUAGUCAGAAAUAACCCAUUCAAAUGGCCAGUCAGAGCCUUUUGUGGUGUGGGGGCUGUGCUUUGGCAAAGUAGGUGGGGUUAUAUCCUUCCUGUUUGGCCCUGUGUGUGGGGGUAUCAUCGGAUGGGGCCACAGUGUCUCCUGACCCCUCCUGUCUCAGCCUCCAGUAUUUAUGCUGCAGUAGUUUAUGUGUCGGGGGGCUAGGGUCACUCUGUUAUAUCUGGAGUAUUUCUCCUGUCUUAUCCGGUGUCCUGUGUGAAUUUAUGUGUGCUCUCUCUAAUUCUCUUUCUCUCUUUCUUUCUUUCUCUCUCUUGGAGGACCUGAGCCCUAGGACCAUGCCUCAGGACUACCUGGCAUGAUGACUCCUUGCUGUCCCCAGUCCACCUGGCCAUACUGCUGCUCCAGUUUCAACUGUUCUGUCUGCGGCUAUGGAACCCUGACCUGUUCACCGGACGUGCUACCUGUCUCAGACCUGCUGUUUUCAACUCUCUAGAGACAGCAGGAGCGGUAGAAAUACUUUCAAGCCAACUGACAUGUACUCCUGAGGUGCUGACUUGCUGCACCCUCGACAACUACUGUGAUUAUUAUUAUUUGACCAUGCUGGUCAUUUAUGAACAUUUGAACAUCUUGGCCAUGUUCUGUUAUAAUCUCCACCCGGCACAGCCAGAAUAGUACUGGCCACCCCUCAUAGCCUGGUUCCUCUCUAGGUUUCUUCCUAGGUUUUGACCUUUCUAGGGAGUUUUUCCUAGCCACCAUGCUUCUACAUCUGCAUUGCUUACUGUUUGGGGUUUUAGGCUGGGUUUCUGUACAGCACUUUGAGAUAUCAGCUGAUGUAAGAAAGGCUAUAGAAAUAAAUUUGAUUUGAUUUAAUCAUGGAAUAAAAGUAAGCAAUUAUUGUA